rfam:Picea glauca, whole genome shotgun sequence.
GCGUGCGAUCAUACCAACAUUAUUGAACCGGAUCCCAUCAGAACUCCACAGUUAAGUGCACUUGGGCUAGAGUAGUACUGGGAUGGGUGACCUCCUGUGAAGUCCUAGUGUUGAACCCU